GAUUUCUGGCGAGACAUAUCUGGCCGGCCACGGUUUCGUGUGUUAGUGCUUGAUAUUCUAGCCAUCCUUCCAAUGGCUAUUCAUCCUUCUUCAUUGAGGUGGUGAGUGGUAUUGGAUCUUUUACUUUGAAAAAAUUAGAGUGUUUCAAGCAGGCAUGUUUUGCUAUGAAUACAUUAGCAUGGAAUAAUAAUCUAGGACUUUCGGUUCUAUUUUGUUGGUGUUCUGGAGCUGAAGUAAUGAUUGAUAGGGAUAGUUGGGGGUGCUAGUAUUCAAUGGCCAGAGGUGAAAUUCUCGGAUUCCUUGAAGACUAACUUAUGCGAAAGCAUU
rnacentral:rRNA from 1 species